rnacentral:rRNA from 1 species
CUUGGUCAUUUAGAGGAAGUAAAAGCGUAACAAGGUUUCCGUAGGUGAACCUGCGGAAGGAUCAUUACCGAGUGCGGGCUGCCUCCGGCGCCCAACCUCCCACCCUUGAAUACUAAACACUGUUGCUUCGGCGGGGAGCCCCUUCCGGGGGGCAAGCCGCCGGGGACCACUGAACUUCAUGCCUGAGAGUGAUGCAGUCUGAGUCUGAAUUAUAAAUCAGUCAAAACUUUCAACAAUGGAUCUCUUGGUUCCGGCAUCGAUGAAGAACGCAGCGAACUGCGAUAAGUAAUGUGAAUUGCAGAAUUCAGUGAAUCAUCGAGUCUUUGAACGCACAUUGCGCCCCCUGGCAUUCCGGGGGGCAUGCCUGUCCGAGCGUCAUUGCUGCCCUUCAAGCCCGGCUUGUGUGUUGGGUCGUCGUCCCCCCCGGGGGACGGGCCCGAAAGGCAGCGGCGGCACCGUGUCCGGUCCUCGAGCGUAUGGGGCUUUGUCACCCGCUCGAUUAGGGCCGGCCGGGCGCCAGCCGGCGUCAUCAAUCUAUUUUACCAGGUUGACCUCGGAUCAGGUAGGGAUACCCGCUGAACUUAAGCAUAUCAAUAAGCGGAGGA